rnacentral:tRNA from 1 species
UCGCCCCGGGGAUCGGCGGGGUUGAUCUUGAACUCCUUGACGUGGAGCUUGGCGAGAAGUUCGUCCAGCGUCAGGAUCCAUUCCUCGGGGUGGCC